AUGGCCACCACCAAGGACUCCAAUGCGCUCAACUCCAUCGGUAACACCAUAGAUGAUUCCCCACAAAGCUCCAGCAACUCAGGCAUAAUUUGCAGAACUGGAGCUACGACCUCCGUGAUAACCGCAUUCCCACGAACAAGCGGCGUCACAUGCAGAGCACGAGGAGAAAAAUCUCCAAAGCAACAUUCGGCAUCCUCAUCAAUGGAACCAACCUGGAGCUCAGGCAGCAAAGGCACAACCGAUGCAACCUCAAACUUGGCUAGAGCGUCGCGAAGCUCAAUGCGGAGCAGCUCAACCUCCUGA
rnacentral:rRNA from 1 species